AAAAUAGCAAAGAGACCUUUUUGACUCAUAUUUUGUUGACCUUAUUUGCUAUCACUAUGGAUUUUUAAUGUGUUUUGCUUUUUUUUAAUUUUUGUUAGUCAUUUAAAGUUAAUGGAAGUAAUUUAUUUUAAUUAAGAGUAAACUACGCGAUGCCUAUCUCAAAUUGAAAAAAUGUUAUAAGGAAUAAAAUAAUUUUAAAAACGGUUCAAAGUCCUCAUAUCACCGAAGAAUAAAAUUUCUAAGAUAUUUUUGUCUUUCGAGAUUAUGUUUAAUGACAUUGAAGUAGAGGAAGACCGCGAAUCAGGUGGCAAUCACAAGUGGAAAGUGACCUCACCCAACUUGGAGCGCGGAACUGGAGACAUCUAGCUAGGGACUGAGCUAGAUGGAGAAGUUUGUUGGCAGGAAUUUCCGGAUAUAAAAGCGUUUGCCAACAAUUCAUGCACUUGACACGAAACGUUUCAACAAAAAUAUUCACUUGGUAAUGGCCAAACAAAAUUCUAAAUAUAUCUCGACAAAUUGUUCACAUGAAUUUAAACUCUUACACGUAAACUAUUUAAUGGCUUGUCUUAUGUUUUAUAAAUAAAUGAAAUGAAAUAAAAUAAAAUAAUAAUGAAAAGUAGUUUUUGUUUCAUGUGAGUCGAAAACGAACCAGACCAGACCAGACAGCAUCAAAGACCAUUAUUUGCAGUGGAGCAUUUUAUUAUAAUUUAUUUAAUCCCACACAUAUAGAGAGUAAGAGAGCGCCGCACCUCGGCUGCUGUACGAUGAUCCGAUGCCUCGAACUUGAACUUGGCAAGAGAAUUCCUAGAACUAACAAAAUAAAUAAAUGCAUCUGCAAAAAAAAACAUGCAACAGAAGGCAGAUGAAAAACUAGAAGAUUGUCUGUGAUUAAGAAAACUGCGCUGUUUUUUUUCGUUUUCUUCUAGAGAUGUGCUUCCCUUAGAGAAAGAAUCUGAUUCGAAAUACAUCACUGACAGAGCAAUAUAAAUUGAAGACCACACGAGAUGACAAGUAUUUCGAACAAUUAUCUAAGAUUUAUUUAUUUUGCAUUCUAAUAACACAAUUAAUUAUAUGUAAGUGUAUAAUAUUUUUUUUUCUCUAAAUUUAUUUGUAUAGCAUUUGUUUUGUUUUAUUAAUAGUUUAUAAAUCACAAAUAUUUGUCUGCAUCAUUACCUAUAGUUUUUUUUACAUAUGGUAUGUUAUUGAGCUUCUAUAAAAGCUUGAUAUAUUGUAAGUGUCUCGGAACACAGUACCUAAGUAGUUUUUAUUUAUAUUCUGAUAUAUUAAUUAAUAAUUUUGUGUUGUAACUGCAA